CAAGCUGAUAUCCUGAAACAUGUAUAAGAAUCACGACACUCAUAUUUAAUUACAUAAUCAAAGUGUAAACUCACAUUUUGUCCAUCGCAUUUCUCAUGUGUUCAUGUUUUGAUUUUAGUGAACAAAGGGUGUUGUUCGGCAUUAUAGAUCUGUAUAUCACUAGAAGCAACCUCUAAUUCUGAUUGUUUUAGAAUACAUACAAUGGUGUUGAAACAACCAAGGGCCACAUAUAUCACUGGUUCAGUAAAAUCCCAUAGGAUUGUUGAAAAAAAAUUACAUGCCUAUUAAAUUAUGCUCUUUGCAAUUGAAUUCGUUAACUGUUUGCUGCCACCAUAUGGUAAUGAUUGUGGUACUAUAAUGAAGUCUAGUUGCAUCAUAAUGCAGUAAGGGAGACUUUGAAGACCACAAAGAAGGAAUUCAGUAAAACCGAAGAUGAUCUGAAGUCUCUCCAAAAUGUUGGGCAAAUAAUUGGAGAGGUUCUUAGGCCACUUGAUAACGAGCCUUUCAUUGUUAAGGCAAGCAGUGGGCCUCGGUAUGUUGCUGGCUGAAGGAGCAAAGUUGACAAGGAGAAGCUGACAGCUGAAAUUAAGGGAGUCCUACUAUAUGGUCCUCCGAGAACUGGGAAGACAUUGCUGGCUAGAGCAAUUGCUAGUAAUAUAGAUGCAAACUUUUUGAAGGUUGUAUCAAGUGCUAUAAUUGACAAAUAUAUAGGUGAAAGUGCAACAUUGAUAAGGGAAAUGUUUAGCUAUGCACGUGAACAAAUAUACAUCUUUCUCAGCCCCUUGUACAUUCUAUUCUUAGUUUAAUAUGUUUUGGCUAACUCGGUGAAAUAUUAAUAAACCUCUUUCUUCCACAUAUGAAAGAAUAUUAUCCUGCAUUAGGACAUUAGCAAGUCUUCUCAUUGUAAUAUGAUU